GUUAGGGUGGGGGAAGGUGCUGC
rnacentral:miRNA from 15 species